GAAACACAUAAACACGUCCUCACCUUAUCCAAUCAACUCAUAAAUCAUGGUUUAGAGCAAGUCCAUUGGGAGAUCCUUACCAGUUUUUAACAUAAAUCUUUAAUAAUUUUGGAAAAAAAUAAAUCUAAAAUGUGAUUUAAGCUUGGGAUCGCACCUUAUUUUAGAGUUUUUUCAGUUGUUAAGGUGCUCAUACGUGGCAACUACUCAUUGGUUGCUUUUUUUGACAAAACAUUUUUUUUCUUUUGCCGUGUUUUGCUUUUCAAAUUGAUUCUCCUCUCUUCUCUUCUCUUGUUAACUCCGGUGGCAAUUGAACGAUUGGUGAUCAUCAUCAUCACGCGUUUAUAUCAUCAAAUCGGAAGAGAUUAUCGACGGAAUUUGUCUCUUAUCCUCCGUGCUCAUCAUCUCAACCGACGCU